UGGGGAAUAUUGGACAAUGGGCGCAAGCCUGAUCCAGCCAUGCCACGUGAGUGAUGAAGGCCCUAGGGUUGUAAAGCUCUUUCACCGGUGAAGAUAAUGACGGUAACCGGAGAAGAAGCCCCGGCUAACUUCGUGCCAGCAGCCGCGGUAAUACGUAGGGGGCUAGCGUUAUCCGGAUUUACUGGGCGUAAAGGGUGCGUAGGUGGUCUUUCAAGUCGGUGGUUAAAGGCUACGGCUCAACCGUAGUUAGCCUCCGAAACUGGAAGACUUGAGUGCAGGAGAGGAAAGUGGAAUUCCCAGUGUAGCGGUGAAAUGCGUAGAUAUUGGGAGGAACACCAGUAGCGAAGGCGGCUUUCUGGACUGCAACUGACACUGAGGCACGAAAGCGUGGGUAGCAAACAGG
rnacentral:rRNA from 1 species